AUACGGAGGAUGCGAGCGUUGUCCGGAUUUAUUGGGUUUAAAGGGAGCGUAGGUGGGAUAUUAAGUCAGCUGUGAAAGUUUGGGGCUCAACCUUAAAAUUGCAGUUGAUACUGGUUUCCUUGAGUACGGUACAGGUGGGCGGAAUUCGUGGUGUAGCGGUGAAAUGCUUAGAUAUCACGAAGAACUCCGAUCGCGAAGGCAGCUCACCGGGCCGGAACUGACACUGAUGCUCGAAAGUGCGGGUAUCAAACAGGAUUAGAUACCCUGGUAGUCCGCACAGUAAACGAUGAAUACUCGCUGUUUGCGAUACACGGUAAGCGGCCAAGCGAAAGCGUUAAGUAUUCCACCUGGGGAGUACGCCGGCAACGGUGAAACUCAAAGGAAUUGGCGGGG
rnacentral:rRNA from 1 species